UCCCCCCGCAGCUCCCGAGCCGCCGAGCCGCCCGACGCCAGUGACGUCAUCCUCGGGCUGAUCCGGGAGCUCUCCGACCUCAACCGCCUGGCCAUGGGUGCCCGCCGAGGGCUGGAGCUGCUGCUGAGGAGGCCGCGGGCACAGCGGGCACAGCGGGCACGGAGGGCACGGAGGGCAGCACCCGCUGGAAGCCGCUGGAAGGAGGGGUAGGGAUGGAAAAAAAUUGGGAUUUAUUGGGGGAAUAAAUCGAGGUUGGUCUGGA